GACGUAGGAGGCGAGCGUUAUCCGGAUUCACUGGGCGUAAAGCGCAUGUAGGCGGUUGCACAAGUCCGUUGUUAAAGCCCCUGGCUCAACUGGGGGAGGUCAAUGGAGACUGUGCGACUUGAGGGCAAUAGAGGCACGUGGAACUCCCGGUGUAGCGGUGAAAUGCGUAGAUAUCUGGAGGAAUACCGGUGGCGAAGGCGGCAUCCUGGACCGGCAUUGACGCUGAGGAGCGAAAGCCAGGGGAGCAAAGCGGG
rnacentral:rRNA from 1 species